rnacentral:rRNA from 1 species
UCAAGAAACUUCCACAAUGGGCGAAAGCCUGAUGGAGCGACGUCGCGUGAUGGACGAAGUGCUUCGGCACGUAAACAUCUUUUAUGUGGGAUGAAAUUAUUGACAGUACCACAUGAAUAAGGGGCUCCUAACUCUGUGCCAGCAGGAGCGGUAAUACAGAGGCCCCAAGCGUUAUCCGGAAUCACUGGGCGUAGAGGGUGUCGAGGCGGUUGUAUUAGUCGUUCGUAAAAUCUACGAGCUUAACUUGUAGGCGGCGAACGAAACGGUACGACUUGAGGUUUGGAGAGGUGCGUGGAACUCACGGUGUAGGGGUGAAAUCCGUUGAUAUCGUGGGGAACACCAAAGGCGAAGGCAGCGCACUGGCCAAAAUCUGACGCUCACACACGAAAGCUAGGGUAGCGAAGAGGAUUAGAUACCCGGGUAGUCCCUGAGCGGGCUGGCAAGGCGCAU